CUUUGCUGGCGACCGGCGCACGGGUGAGUAACACGUAUCCAACCUGCCCUUUACUCGGGGAUAGCCUUUCGAAAGAAAGAUUAAUACCCGAUAGCAUAAUGAUUCCGCAUGGUUUCAUUAUUAAAGGAUUCCGGUAAAGGAUGGGGAUGCGUUCCAUUAGGUUGUUGGUGAGGUAACGGCUCACCAAGCCUUCGAUGGAUAGGGGUUCUGAGAGGAAGGUCCCCCACAUUGGACUGAGACACGGCCAA
rnacentral:rRNA from 1 species